rnacentral:rRNA from 1 species
AUUGAACGCUGGCGGCAUGCCUUACACAUGUAAGUCGAACGGUAACAGGUCUUCGGAUGCUGACGAGUGGCGAACGGGUGAGUAAUACAUCGGAACGUGCCUAGUAGUGGGGGAUAACUACUCGAAAGAGUGGCUAAUACCGCAUGAGAUCUACGGAUGAAAGCAGGGGAUCGCAAGACCCUGUGCUACUAGAGCGGCCGAUGGCAGAUUAGGUAGUUGGUGGGAUAAAAGCUUACCAAGCCGACGAUCUGGAGCUGGUCUGAGAGGACGAGCAGCCACACUGGGACUGAGACACGGCCCAGACUCCUACGGGAGGCAGCAGUGGGGAAUUUUGGACAAUGGGCGAAAGCCUGAUCCAGCAAUGCCGCGUGCAGGAUGAAGGCCUUCGGGUUGUAAACUGCUUUUGUACGGAACGAAAAGCCCUGGGUUAAUACCCUGGGGUCAUGACGGUACCGUAAGAAUAAGCACCGGCUAACUACGUGCCAGCCGCCGCCGUAA